GUGCUUGCUUCAGCAGCACAUAUACUAAAAUUGGAAUGAUACAGAGAAGAUUAGCAUGGCCCCUCAGAAAAGAUGACAUGCAAAUUCAUGAAGUGUUCCACAUUUUU